GAGAUAUCACUGGAGACUGAAAUGCUCUGUUUAUCCACAGAACAGAUACAGCCUGGGAAGCGUCAGUGUAAUGUGCCAGUAUGCCUAAACCCUGAACUGGAGGGACCACCGCUAAGAAUGAGAGGUUAGUUUGGUUUCUGCUUUUGCCUCUGGAGGUCACCACC
rnacentral:sRNA from 1 species